rnacentral:rRNA from 1 species
AGUGAACGCUGGCGGUAGGCCUAACACAUGCAAGUCGAACGGCAGCACAGUAAGAGCUUGCUCUUACGGGUGGCGAGUGGCGGACGGGUGAGGAAUACAUCGGAAUCUACUUUUUCGUGGGGGAUAACGUAGGGAAACUUACGCUAAUACCGCAUACGACCUACGGGUGAAAGCAGGGGAUCUUCGGACCUUGCGCGAUUGAAUGAGCCGAUGUCGGAUUAGCUAGUUGGCGGGGUAACGGCCCACCAAGGCAACGAUCCGUAGCUGGUCUGAGAGGAUGGGCGCCCAGAAGGGAACUGAGACACGGACGAAACGCCUACGGGCGGCAGCAGUGAGGAAUAUUGGGCGAUGAGCGAGAGCCUGAACCAGCCAAGUAGCGUGCAGGAAGACGGCACUAUGGGUAGUACACUGCUUUUAUAAGGGAAUAAAGUGGGUAACGUGUGACUUUUUGAAUGUACCUUAUGAAUAAGGAACGGCUAAUUCCGUG